CACGUACUGUGCGAACGUUAUUCGGAAUCACUGGGCUUAAAGGGUGCGUAGGCGGCAAUUCAAGUCAGGUGUGAAAUGCCUGAGCUCAACUGAGGCAUUGCGCUUGAAACUGAACUGCUUGAGUAUCCCAGGGGUGUGCGGAACUGCCAGUGGAGCGGUGAAAUGUGCUGAUAUUGGCAGGAACACCGGAGGCGAAAGCGGCACACUGGGGGAUAACUGACGCUGAGGCACGAAAGCCAGGGGAGCGAACGGG
rnacentral:rRNA from 1 species